rnacentral:rRNA from 1 species
ACCGGCAAACGGGUGCGGAACACGUACGCAACUUACCCAAAACUGGGGAAUAGCCCGGGGAAACCCGGAUUAAUACCUCGUAACAUAAUUGAGUGGCAUCACUUGAUUAUUAUAGCUCCGGCGGUUUUGGAUGGGCGUGCGCCUGAUUAGGUAGUUGGCGGGGUAACGGCCCACCAAGCCUACGAUCAGUAACUGGUGUGAGAGCACGACCAGUCACACGGGCACUGAGACACGGGCCCGACUCCUACGGGAGGCAGCAGUAAGGAAUAUUGGUCAAUGGACGCAAGUCUGAACCAGCCAUGCCGCGUGAAGGAUGAAGGUCCUCUGGAUUGUAAACUUCUUUUAUAUGGGAAGAAAUCCAUCUUUUCUUGGGUGGUUGACGGUACCAUAGGAAUAAGCACCGGCUAACUCCGUGCCAGCAGCCGCGGUAAUACGGAGGGUGCAAGCGUUAUCCGGAUUCACUGGGUUUAAAGGGUGCGUAGGAGGGCAGGUAAGUCAGUGGUGAAAUCUCCAAGCUUAACUUGGAAACUGCCGUUGAUACUAUCUGUCUUGAAUACCGUGGAGGUGAGCGGAAUAUGUCAUGUAGCGGUGAAAUGCUUAGAUAUGACAUAGAACACCAAUUGCGAAGGCAGCUCGCUACACGAAUAUUGACUCUGAGGCACGAAAGCGUGGGGAUCAAACAGGAUUAGAUACCCUGGUAGUCCACGCCCU